rnacentral:lncRNA from 1 species
GUGUGUGUGUAAUGUGUGUUUGUCAGUUUGUGUGUGUAUUGUGUGUUUGUCAGUGUGUGUGUGUGUGUGUGUGUGUGUGUGUGUGUGUAGUGUGUUUGUCAGUGUGUGUGUGUGUGUGUAGUGUGUUUGUCAGUGUGUGUAGUGUGUUUGUCAGUGUGUGUGUAUUGUGUGUUUGUCAGUGUGUGUGUGUAGUGUGUGUUUGUCAGUGUGUGUUGUGUUUGUCAGUGUGUGUAGUGUGUUUGUCAGUGUGUGUGUAGUGUGUGCUUGUCAGUGUGUGUGUGUAGUGUGUGUUUGUCAGUGUGUGUGUGUAGUGUGUGUUUGUCAGUGUGUGUCUGCAGUGUGUGUGUGUAGUGUGUGUUUGUCAGUGUGUGUUUGUCAGUGUGUGUGUGUAGUGUGUGUUUGUCAGUGUGAGUGUGUAGUGUGUGUUUGUCAGUGUGUGUGUGUGUAGUCUGUGUGUGCAGUGUGUGUUUGUCAGUGUGUGUGUGCAGUGUGUGUUUGUCAGUCUGUGUGUGCGUGUAGUGUAUGUUUGUCAGUGUGUGUGUGUGUGUGUGUGUGUGUGUGUGUGUGUGUGUGUGUGUGUGUGUGUGUGUGUGUGUGUGUGUGUUUGUCAGUGUGUGCGUGUAGUGUGUGUGUAGUGUAUGUUUGUCAGUGUGUGUGUGUGUGUGUAGUGUGUGUUUGUCAGUGUGUGUGUGUGUAGUGUGUGUUUGUCAGUGUGUGUGUGUGUGUGUGUAGUGUAUGUUUGUCAGUGUGUGUGUGUGUGUGUAGUGUAUGUUUGUCAGUGUGUGUGUGUGUGUGUGUGUGUGUGUGUGUGUGUGUGUGUGUGUGUGUGUGUGUGUGUGUGUGUGUGUGUGUGUGUGUAGUGUGUGUGUAGUGUAUGUUUGUCAGUGUGUGUGUGUGUGUAGUGUGUGUUUGUCAGUGUGUGUGUGCAGUGUGUGUCUGCAGUGUGUGUUUGUCCGUGUGCGGUGUGUGUGUGUGUUUGUCAGAAUGUGUAUGUAGUGUGUGUUUGUCAGUGUGUGUGUGUGUGUGUUUGUCAGUGUGUGUGUGUGUAGUGUGUGUUUGUCAGUGUGUGUGUGUGUGUGUGUGUGUGUGUGUGUGUGUUGUGUGUUGGUCAGUGUGUGUGUGUGUAGUGUGUGUUUGUCAGUGUGUGUUUGUCAGUGUGUGUGUGUGUGUGUGUGUAGUGUGUGUUUGUCAGUGUGUGUGUGUAGUGUGUGUUUGUCAGUGUGUGUUUGUCAGUGUGUGUGUGUGUGUGUGUGUGUGUGUGUGUGUGUGUGUAGUGUGUGUUUGUCAGUGUGUGUUUGUCAGUGUGUGUGUGUGUGUGUGUGUGUGUGUGUGUGUGUGUGUGUGUGUGUGUGUGUGUGUGUGUGUGCAGUGUGUGUUUGUCAGUGUGUGUAUGUAAUGUGUGUUUGUCAGUGUGUGUGUGUUUGUAGAGAAAGAGGAAGUGUCUACUAGAACCACCACAGAGAGAACAGACUGAGGACAGACCUUAUUGAAGGUACUGUAACAGGAGUAGUGUAGGGUGUAGUGAAGGUACUGUAACAGGAGUAGUGUAGGGUGUUGUGAAGGUACUGUAACAGGAGUAGUGUAGGAUGUAGUGAAGGUACUGUAACAGGAGUAGUGUAGGGUGUUGUGAAGGUGCUGUAACAGGAGUUGUGUAGUGAAGGUACUGUGACAGGAGUAGUGUAGGGUAUAGUGAAAGUACUGUAACAGGAUUAGUGUAGGGUGUAGUGAAGGUACUGUAACAGGAGUAGUGUAGGGUGUAGUGAAGGUACUGUAACAGGAGUAGUGUAGGGUGUUGUGAAGGUACUGUAACAGGAGUAGUGUAGGGUGUAGUGAAGGUACUGUAACAGGAGUAGUGUAGGGUGUUGUGAAGGUGCUGUAACAGGAGUUGUGUAGUGAAGGUACUGUGACAGGAGUAGUGUAGGGUGUAGUGAAAGUACUGUAACAGGAUUAGUGUAGGGCGUAGUGAAAGUACUGUAACAGGAUUAGUGUAGGGUGUAGUGAAGGUACUGUAACAGGAGUAGUGUAGGGUGUAGUGAAGGUGCUGCAACAGGAGUAGUGUAGGGUGUAGUGAAGGUACUGUGACAGGAGUAGUGUAGGGUGUAGUGAAGGUACUGUAACAGGAGCAGUGUAGGGUGUAGUGAAGGUACUGUAACAGAAGUAGUGAAGAUACUGUAACAGGAGUAGGUUAGGGUGUAGUGAAGGUACUGUAACAGGAGUAUUGUAGGGUGUAGUGAAGGUACUGUAACAGGAGUAGUGUAGGGUGUAGUGAAGGUACUGUAACAGGAGUAGUGUAGGGUGUAGUGAAGGUACUGUAACAGGAGUAGUGUAGGGUGUAGUGAAAGUACUGUGACAGGGGUAGUGUAGGGUGUAGUGAAGGUACUGUAACAGGAGUAGUGUAGGGUGUAGUGAAGGUACUGUUACAGGAGUAGUGUAGGGUGUAGUGAAAGUACUGUGACAGGGGUAGUGUAGGGUGUAGUGAAGGUACUGUAACAGGAGUAGUGUAGGGUGUAGUGAAGGUACUGUUACAAGAGUAAGAUUAGUGGUGCCAGCCUUUUUCGUUGGUAACCAACCUUCGUUGUGUUUUUACUGUAGCAAGGCAAACUUAAUUUUGUAGUGAGGUAGCCUUGCUUCUAUCGGACGGUACCUUCCCUCCCAUAUGCCGCUGAAAGGGUGAGCCUUUGAAAAUCAUCUGUAUCCACCUGUUUGUCAGUCAUUUUGAGACGAAGUUUCAUGAAAACCUUGAUUUUAUCCUCCGUGGACUGAUAGUUGUAGUUUUCAUCCUCCUUUAUUUUCAGUAUGAGAAUAUAAUUCUUCAUACGUCUGCACUUCUGAUCAAGUCAUUCCACUUUCAUUGUUUUAUGAUCAUACCGUAGCCUCUCUGUAGUGGAGGUCAGGGAGUCCACAGUCAUUUCAAUAUCUUAUUUUAGGCUCCUAUUUCAUCAUUUUAUUG